rnacentral:tRNA from 1 species
GGUGGAUGUAGCUCAAUUGGUUAGAGUCCCAGAUUGUGAUUCUGGAUGUUGCCGGUUCGAGUCCGGUCAUCCACCCGAA